rnacentral:rRNA from 1 species
GAUGAACGCUGGCGGCGUGCCUAAUACAUGCAAGUCGAGCGAACAGACGAGGAGCUUGCCCCUCUGACGUUAGCGGCGGACGGGUGAGUAACACGUGGAUAACCUACCUAUAAGACUGGGAUAACUUCGGGAAACCGGAGCUAAUACCGGAUAAUAUAUUGAACCGCAUGGUUCAAUAGUGAAAGACGGUUUUGCUGUCACUAAUAGAUGGAUCCGCGCCGCAUUAGCUAGUUGGUAAGGUAACGGCUUACCAAGGCGACGAUGCGUAGCCGACCUGAGAGGGUGAUCGGCCACACUGGAACUGAGACACGGUCCAGACUCCUACGGGAGGCAGCAGUAGGGAAUCUUCCGCAAUGGGCGAAAGCCUGACGGAGCAACGCCGCGUGAGUGAUGAAGGUCUUCGGAUCGUAAAACUCUGUUAUUAGGGAAGAACAAAUGUGUAAGUAACUAUGCACGUCUUGACGGUACCUAAUCAGAAAGCCACGGCUAACUACGUG